GACGAACGCUGGCGGCGUGCUUAACACAUGCAAGUCGAACGGAAAGGCCCUGCUUUUGUGGGGUGCUCGAGUGGCGAACGGGUGAGUAACACGUGAGUAACCUGCCCUUGACUUUGGGAUAACUUCAGGAAACUGGGGCUAAUACCGGAUAGGAGCUCCUGCUGCAUGGUGGGGGUUGGAAAGUUUCGGCGGUUGGGGAUGGACUCGCGGCUUAUCAGCUUGUUGGUGGGGUAUUGGCUUACCAAGGCUUUGACGGGUAGCCGGCCUGAGAGGGUGACCGGCCACCUUGCGACUGAGGUACGGCCCAGACUCCUACGGGAGGCAGCAGUGGGGAAUAUUGCACAAUGGGCGGAAGCCUGAUGCAGCAACGCCGCGUGCGGGAUGACGGCCUUCGGGUUGUAAACCGCUUUCGCCUGUGACGAAGCGUGAGUGACGGUAAUGGGUAAAGAAGCACCGGCUAACUACGUG
rnacentral:rRNA from 1 species